CACGUAGGGGGCAAGCGUUGUCUGGAUUUAUUGGGCGUAAAGAGCUCGUAGGCGGCUUAGUAAGUCGGGUGUGAAACCUCCAGGCUCAACCUGGAGACGCCACCCGAUACUGCUGUGGCUAGAGUCCGGUAGGGGAGCGUGGAAUUCCUGGUGUAGCGGUGAAAUGCGCAGAUAUCAGGAGGAACACCAGCGGCGAAGGCGGCGCUCUGGGCCGGUACUGACGCUGAGGAGCGAAAGCGUGGGGAGCAAACAGG
rnacentral:rRNA from 1 species